CAGAGCCCGAGCGUCAUUGCAAAAAAAAAAAAAAGUAUACCGUGAGAAUCUGCGCUCAUUUGACCAAGUUGUGCACUUGUUUUACUCAAUUAUGAUCUCAUAAGAGUGACAUGACACUGUCAUGAAUGUGUCAUAAACAAGUCAUAAACGUUCAUGAUAUAACGCUUCUGUUAUUAAGGGUCAUUCGGUUUUCGUCAUAAAAAGUUAGGUUUAGGGUUAGGGUGUUAGUUUAAGCUAGUUAGCUAUGUUAGUUUAAGCUCUCGAUCUUUUUAGCUAGCUUACAGGCGAAAUGCUAGUAUUUUAGGACAUUGGAUUACAUUGUAAACCUAGCUAGACAGCUAGGCUACAUGCUGCAACACAGGUAUGAAAUAUAUUAUGUCUUAUUGACCUUGUUGUUUCUAUGAACAUGAAUUGUUGUUUAUAGGCAACAUCAAGUCAACAUCAUCUUAAUCGAGGCAUAAAGACCCCUGGAUAUCUUCAUUAAGUACUUAAACUUAAACUAGCUGAUUAGCCUAAUUAGCUCGCUUGCCACCACUGGCUAGACACUGCAGUCAAAAGGUUAGCGGUUUCGCCGUCACGCCCCCGAGGCGAAGUUUCGCUGGCCGAAAAUCACGAGGUGUUUCGCUGUGUGGAAACCCACCUGGUACUGGAUGCUGACAGACAACCAGAAAAAAACGAUGAACUCUGACCUAGUAUUCACCCAGCUGAAUAUUGCAAAUUGCUACUAUAUUUCAUAAUUUCUUUAUGCAAAUCGUAUUUCGAUCUUACUUCACUGUAUUUAUUUAUUUAUUUAUUUAUUUAUUUAUUUAUUUACACAUUUACCCACCCCCCAAAAUAUCAGACCACUGUACUCCUUGUUUAAUCGUCUAAAAAAGUGGUGAGGUUAUAGAGGCAGUUGGAAAAGGGAAAUGGAAGUUUAACAAGGAUGUUAGAAGACAUAGUUGUGCACUAUGUGAAGUCUGCCAGUCUGAGGCCGGGAUCAGGUCCAGAUAUUACAGAAUCAGCUUCUCAGGUCAAGACAAAUCAAGUCAAGUGGAUCGUUGUUGUUGCUUUGCCUUCCCCUGAUCACUCCACCUGAAUUUGGCAUCUCUGCAUUCCCCACUGAACAGCCAUGGCUACAACUGGAGAUGAAACUACUGGGCCUUCAUCACCUCAUGGAGAGGCACUGUUAAUGUGACGUACACCAACAAGGAUUCCCGGGACACUGAAAGAC